rnacentral:rRNA from 1 species
AACGAACGCUGGCGGCAUGCCUAACACAUGCCAGUCGAACGAGACCUUCGGGUCUAGUGGCGCACGGGGGGGUAACGCGUGGGAAGCUGCCCUUAGGUUCGGAAUAACUCCCCGAAGGGGGUGCUAAUACCGGAUGAUGUCUUCGGACCAAAGAUUUAUCGCCUUUGGAUGGGCCCGCGUUGGAUUAGGUAGUUGGUAGGGGAAAAGCCGACCAAGGGGACGAUGCAUAGCUGGUCUGAGAGGAUGAUCAGCCACACUGGGACUGAGACACGGCCCAGACUCCUACGGGAGGCAGCAGUGGGGAAUACUGGACAAUGGGCGAAAGCCUGAUCCAGCAAUGCCGCGUGAGUCAUGAAGGCCUUAGGGUUGUAAAGCUCUUUUACCCGGGACGAUAAUGACAGUACCGGGAGAAGAAGCUCCGGCUAACUCCGUG